rnacentral:rRNA from 1 species
ACUUUAUAUUGAAAUGUUAAAUAAAAAUUUUUAUUUACAUAAUAAUAUUUAAUUGGGGUGAUUUUAAAACUUAUAAAACUUUUUUAAUUAUUAAACAAAAAUUUUUGAAAUUUAAUUAAUGGAUCCUGUAUUAUAGAUUAAAAGAAUAAGU